CCAAUAGCGUAUAUUAAAGUUGUUGCGGUUAAAAAGCUCGUAGUUGAAUUUCGAGACCGGUUUACUGGUCGUGCUUUUGUACGUACUGGUAUUAUUGGUUUCUCCUUUCUGACGAAUCAUAAUGCCAUUAAUUUGGUGUUUUGGGGAAUCAGGACUGUUACUUUGAAAAAAUUAGAGUGUUUAAAGCAGGCUCACGCUUGAAUACAUUAGCAUGGAAUAACGAAAUAGGACGUUUGAUUUUAUUUUGUUGGUUUCUAGGAUCGACGUAAUGAUUAAUAGGGAUAGUUGGGGGCAAUAGUAUUCAAUUGUCAGAGGUGAAAUUCUUGGAUUUAUUGAAUACUAACUACUGCGAAAGCAUUUGCCAAGGAUGUUUUCAUUAAUCAAGAACGAAAGUUAGGGGAUCGAAGACGAUCAGAUACCGUCGUAGUCUUAACCAUAAACUAUGCCGACUAGGGAUCGGAUGAUGUUAAUUUUUUAAUGACUCAUUCGGCGCCUUACG
rnacentral:rRNA from 1 species